CCAACGCUACUUCCGUCCAGCCACAGCCCCGCUUGAAAGCGGGAUCACGCAAUGGGGGCGGCUCGGUGAGAACCACGGAGAGGUGAAAUCCCUAUGG
rfam:Ruminococcaceae bacterium CPB6, complete genome.